rnacentral:rRNA from 1 species
UGAGGAAUUUUUCGCAAUGGGCGCAAGCCUGACGAAGCAAUGCCGCGUGAAGGAUGAAGGCCUGCGGGUUGUAAACUUCUUUUAUUAGAGAAGAUAAUGACGGUAUCUAAUGAAUAAGCAUCGGCUAAAUAUGUGCCAGCAGCCGCGGUAAUACAUAUGAUGCAAGCGUUAUCCGGAAUGAUUGGGCGUAAAGCGUCUGUAGGUGGUUUAAAAAGUCAACUGUCAAAAACUAAGGCUUAACCUUGGGCAGGCAGUUGAAACUUUUAGACUAGAGUAUGGCAGAGGUAGAGGGAAUUACUGGUGUAACGGUGAAAUGUGCAGAUAUCAGUAAGAACACCUAUGGCGAAAGCACUCUACUGGACCAAAACUGACACUCAGAGACGAAAGCUAGGGGAGCGAAUAGGAUUAGAUACCCCCGUAGUCC